GCCCUUGUAGUAUAACUUGGAUAGAACACGGGCUUCCGGAGCCUGUAAUCCGGGUCCAAAUCCCGGCAAGGGCGCUA
rnacentral:tRNA from 1 species